rnacentral:rRNA from 1 species
CAGCCGCGGUAAUACGGGGGAUGCAAGCGUUAUCCGGAAUCAUUGGGCGUAAAGCGCCUGUAGGUUGUUUAAUAAGUCUGUUGUUAAAGACUAGGGCUUAACCCUAGAAAAGCAAUGGAAACUACUAGACUAGAGUAUGGCAGGGGUAGAGGGAAUUUCUAGUGUAGCGGUGAAAUGCGUAGAUAUUAGAAAGAACACCGGUGGCGAAAGCGCUCUACUGGACCAUUACUGACACUCAGAGGCGAAAGCUAGGGUAGCAAAAGGGAUUAGAUACCCCUGUAGUCCUAGCCGUAAACGAUGGAUACUACAUGUUGUGCAUUAUGUACAGUAUGGUAGCUAACGCGUUAAGUAUCCCGCCUGGGGAGUACGCUCGCAAGGGUGAAACUCAAAGGAAUUGACGGGGGCCCGCACAAGCGGUGGAGCAUGUGGUUUAAUUCGAUGCAACGCGAAGAACCUUACCAGGACUUGACAUACUACAAAUUCUUUUGAGAAAAAGAAGUGCCUUCGGGAAUGUAGAUACAGGUGGUGCAUGGCUGUCGUCAGCUCGUGUCGUGAGAUGUUGGGUUAAGUCCCGCAACGAGCGCAACCCUUAUUUUUAGUUACCAAUUCGUUGGGUUCUCUAGAAAGACUGCCGGUGACAAACCGGAGGAAGGUGAGGAUGACGUCAAGUCAGCAUGCCCCUUAUGUCCUGGGCUACACACGUGCUACAAUGGUUAAGACAAAGAGUCGCGAGCUCGUGAGAGUCAGCUAAUCUCUAUAAACUUAGCCCAAGUUCAGAUUGUAGGCUGCAACUCGCCUACGUGA